AUCAUUUUGUGGCUCUUAACCCAGUUAUUACGGAUAUGCCUUUUGUUGCUAGAUCAUUGUAAUUUUUCGUACACAGUUUAUUUAUGAUCUCAAAGGACCUAAAAAAAUAUGAAAAAAAUUUUCAUUCCUUUGGAAAUUGCGGAAAAUGGUGUUUGAUAAAAGGAACGCUAGUAAAAUGCAUUACCGUAAGCUGAUUUGUAUCGUGGUUGUAUGUACUACGUAUUAUUUGGGCUAAUUUGUUAAAUAAAAAGAAAAAAUACCGUAACCAAGAUAAGUUUUAUUUUAUAUCACAGGAGUAUAGCAUACAGCUGCAUAUUACUCAAUUAUUAGGCGUAUGAUAGGCUUCAAAACAGCAUUUUGGAUGAAGAGUUACAGAACAUUUUUUACAAAACAAAUUGGCAUUUUUAUGACAAAAUGUACAUUGCAGCUGUUCAUUUUGAUAUCGGAUUAUAUGGCCUAUGUUGUCAUAGCGAGGACUCUCAUGAUAAUCUUAUGACAAUUGACCAGGCUUUCGGAGAAUGCAUUUAUAGUAUGUUUCUAACAAAAAAGUGGAAACACUCCUUCGAAAUUUGAGAUGGUCGUAAUCUCCUCUGUUCAUUUUAUAUAACUGCCAUUCAUUAUGGACAGUCAUAUCCAAGCAGUGGAAGAGCAACGAAAAAUAUAUUUUUUUCCCAAUAAUAGAAUAUGUUCAGUACAGUCCAAUAUUUUGAUCUGAGCGAUCUACUCCAUCCAUCUUUUCAUUAUAUGUUUUUAUCAAAGCUGACUGAUCAAUAUGAAUGUAUUUUUUCUGUUUCUGUGGAAAUCUUUUAAUUUAUAUAGUCAGUUAGACUGUUGCUGCACUGGAAACCACAGUAACUACAUACCAUUUGCACACGACAAUUUCUUCGGCUCUGGUAGAUUUAUACCUUAUCCUGCCAGGUUCUGUUUUCUGCAAGUACUUAAUUUUUUCAUAUUCUGUCGGAUUGUUCCUGUGGCCUUUAGAACCCAACGUUAGUAACUUCGUCAUCUUCGUCGCUCAUAUCCGAAUCUGGCGAUGAUAUGCUGACGUUUAUUUCAGCUGUAGUUCUCAAUUGUGGCCCAAGUCAAUUUGGAAAAGAUAUUUUCAUCCCCAGGAUCUUCAUCGGUGAUUUCAAUGUUAUUAUUUUCAGGGGGAAAUAUAAUUAGGAGUCUGGAACAGAUUGUUCUUCAUUACGUUCCAGAUCCUCAAUAAUCUCAUUCAAGCUCAAAGCUCUUGUUUGACGCCUAAAAAAAAAUAAAUAAUAGUAGUUGAUAUUACUACUGUUUGAUAUAAGGAACGCCAACUUUCAUACAAAGAUAACUUCAGUAAAUCUAAUGUGAUUGUAAAUGUUUUUAAACUUGCAAAUAAAAGAAGUUUACUACUUUCAUGAUUUCACAAAACAUAUAUAAAUGUACGGAUUAAACAUGUUUUAACUUACAUUGACAAAUCCAUAACGAAAAACCACUAAGUUACAACUUGCACAAGUAAAUCACGGAACACGAUAACAACCUCAAACCACUUCUAAUAGCUUCACACAUUGAACAACUAACUGCAAAGCCAUAAAUAUUUUUUUAAAACUACCCACUUUUUUGUUUAGAAUUUUAUUACUCACUUGAUCUUUUUAUCAAACGAUAGUAACAAGUG
rnacentral:lncRNA from 1 species